AUACGGAGGAUGCGAGCGUUAUCCGGAUUUCUUGGGUUUAACGGGAGCGUAGGUGGGAUCUUAAGUCAGCUGUGAAAGUUUGGUGCUCAACCUUACAAUUGCAGUUGAUACUGGUUUCCUUGAUUACGGUACCGGUGGGCGGAAUUCGUGGCGUAGCGGUGAAAUGCUUAGAUAUCACGAAGAACUCCGAUCGCGAAGGCAGCUCACCGGGCCGGAACUGACACUGAUGCUCGAAAGUGCGGGUAUCAAACAGGAUUAGAUACCCUGGUAGUCCGCACAGUAAACGAUGAAUACUCGCUGUUUGCGAUACACGGUAAGCGGCCAAGCGAAAGCGUUAAGUAUUCCACCUGGGGAGUACGCCGGCAACGGUGAAACUCAAAGGAAUUGACGGGG
rnacentral:rRNA from 1 species